rnacentral:tRNA from 1 species
GCCACCGUAGCUCAGCUGGUAGAGCAAUGCUUUCGUAAAGCAGAGGUCGGCGGUUCAAUCCCGCCCGGUGGCU